UCCCGCGUCCGUUCGACGUUCUCGACUCGACGGAAGGAUGUUGGCAACGAUAGCCGCUGUGGUUUGAUAACCACUGGCACCGGCGUUGUUGGCGGGCGGCGCGGAUGGCGGGCAGCUGUCUUUCUGUCCCCCGUCUCGCCUCGCCGCCUGACCAUAGACCGCUACUGAAUACCGAUGACUCGGCGCCGAGUGCAAAAAGCGCAUCACAAUUAUUCACGAUUAUUUAAUAAUAUAUUAUGUUUAUCAGAUUUUAUUCGUGUCCUAGGGCCUAGGCCUUAGCUACGACCUACAAGGUUGCGAUGACGGUCAUACUGCCUAUUUACGUAGUUUUCCUUUUUCAAUUUAUCUUUUUAAUUUUGAAAUGCAGUAAUACUUCUUCCCGAGCUUCUUCCCAAUGUUACAAAUAAGCAGUGGCGUGCCAGGAAAUUUCAAUGGUGGGGGGGAGGUGUUCGAAGUAAUAAUACACUUACAUGAAAUAUGAAUUGUGAAAAUACCAAAAACACAAAUAAGGGGCCUUAUAUUUCAAGCUAUCCAAAAUCGUUUCUAACUUAAUAGCUUAUAAUUGUGUACAUUUGUGAUUAUAGCACCAAGUUUUACAAUUAAAUUAACACCAAAAAACUGAAAAAAAUUAUCGCAUUUUUAAAAAUAAACAAACAAAAGCGGAAAGGUGGGAGUCACUCUGCUGUACUGUACUACUGUAGAUUACAAGUAACUAGUAAGUGACUGUAUUGCAUGGUGUUUAAUUUGAAUUCAAUGAUAUACGAUAAUACGAUAUACCUAAUAUCAUUGUAUACGAAAAACGAUUCUGAGCGGAGACGGUCUGUCAGCCUAGGAUAUUUUAUAUUAUACAUAUUCAUAUUGUUAUUACUUAUUAUUAAUACGUUUUUGGCCCGCAAAAAAUUUUUCUACUUAUGAGAAAUUCAAAAAAGGCACGGACAAUGAAUUGUGACUCGGUUGUACUCGGCAAAGAAGCUUCAUAGACCCGUCCAAUGUACGACACAUAUAAAACGUGCGGAUGCGACCGACUAUCCACUGUCUGAACACUCCAAUACAUCCAGCACCCGAAACCCGAAUAAAUGAUUCGGGUGCUAAGCCCUGCCUGAAAGUCUCAAACGCGGAGCACGACUUAGUUUAAGUGUCUUAGACCAAGGAAAGAAGCUACCUCAUUACCAUUACAUAUAUUUGUAUAUUUAUACGUAUAUAUUAGUAUUGUGUUUUUUUUUUUAUUGAAUUAAGGCUAUCUAUCUAUGGUCAUUAGCUUGAAGGUUAUUUAGAAUCUAGUUUUUUAACUGUGGGGAGGGUAUACGGUUGGUUAGAACUUAGAACACGUGUAUAAGAUUUCACACUACAACACGGGUGGUCACCCAUCCGGGAACUAGUGAUACCGACUGAUGCUUGACUUCAGAACACGUUUGUGACUGAAGGCAAUUACCGCGCCAUACCAAGCCUCUACUAUUGUAUUAUGUAUUAAGAUUAUUGUAUAAACACCAAUUUAUUAUGUAUUGUAUUUAUAAAGACUUCAGGUUAAAUAAAGUUUCCUUAGAACAGAUAUAAAAAUAUUUUAAUAUUUAAUAGGUUUAACUGACUUUAGUGCUUGACAGAAAUUGUUCAGUGCCCAGAACUACUGUUGGCCGGUAAAUGUAUAUACCACGGGGCUUCGAAUUGUAUCAUACCAACACAUUAAAAAAAAUAUGUAACAUAAAAUAUAUAAUAAAACAAAAGAAUAUUUAAU